UAAAAGCUUUAAUUUCUUCCCUUUAAGACAUAAAAUGAUGGAGAGUUUUGGGAAGAAUUCUGUAUCCCCUCCUCAUGGGCCAGUGGGAAAUUUUACACUGGUUGGAAGUAAGAUUGCAGUUGCAUGGAAUUCUUGCCACAUCCCAAGAAUAGCUGAUUUUGUCACAUUUACCAGCUUCCUUAUCUGUGAAGAAACAAUGAUGUACUCACAAGCCUUCGAGAAGGGAAGAAAAACUGUCUAUGUCUUUGCCUUUCUUGAAUGCCAUCUCCAGAAAGUGAGAUGA
rnacentral:lncRNA from 1 species